rnacentral:rRNA from 1 species
UACGAGGGGGGCAAGCGUUGUUCGGAAUUAUUGGGCGUAAAGGGCGCGUAGGCGGUGCGGUAAGUCACCUGUGAAAACUCUGGGCUCAACUCAGAGCCUGCAGGCGAAACUGCCGUGCUUGAGUGUGGGAGAGGUGCGUGGAAUUCCUGGUGUAGCGGUGAAAUGCGUAGAUAUCAGGAGGAACACCUGUGGCGAAAGCGGCGCACUGGACCACAACUGACGCUGAGGCGCGAAAGCUAGGGGAGCAAACAGG